CACACGUCAUACAAUGGUCGGUACAGAGGGUUGCCAAACCGCGAGGUGGAGCCAAUCCCUAAAAGCCGAUCGUAGUCCGGAUCGUAGUCUGCAACUCGACUACGUGAAGUCGGAAUCGCUAGUAAUCGCGGAUCAGCAUGUCGCGGUGAAUACGUUCCCGGGUCUU
rnacentral:rRNA from 1 species